UACGUAGGGGGCAAGCGUUGUCCGGAAUUAUUGGGCGUAAAGCGCGCGCAGGCGGCUACUUAAGUCAGGUGUUUAAACCUUGGGCUCAACCUGGGGUCGCACUGGAAACUGGGUGGCUUGAGUACAGAAGAGGAAAGUGGAAUUCCACGUGUAGCGGUGAAAUGCGUAGAGAUGUGGAGGAACACCAGUGGCGAAGGCGACUUUCUGGGCUGUAACUGACGCUGAGGCGCGAAAGCGUGGGGAGCAAACAGG
rnacentral:rRNA from 1 species